GUGCGGGACCCGGCGGUGGGAAAGCCGAGCUGGCGGGACCCGGCGAGGAAGUGCGGGGGAGGCCCGGGCUCCCGGCGGCGGAGUUCUCGGCUGAGCGGGGCUUUGUUUCCAGCCAAACUCCUUGCGGAGUUCUCAGAAUGCUCCCUCAGAGGAGCGGAAAGUUAGGGAAGUGUAGGCUGGUUACCCAGACGGCGGGGUGCAGGCCGGGGCGGAAACUUAGCGGAGGGGCCGCGUUGUCCGGAGAGAGGCGGUUCCCGGCUCCCAGGACAAGGGGCUUCGCUUUUCCUGGUUAGGAGACGCGGGGCGGAGGGGGCUGUGGCGGGAGACAGGUGGUCUCGGGCAGCCUCCUGGGAGAAAGGAGCUCUACGCCCCAGGACUGUGGCGGAGACGACUGGGGCGCAGCUAAGCCUCAGACUCGGGCUUGCGCCUUAGGGAGAAACCUUACGACGUCCUGGCCCGACAGCUUCCUGCUCCAGUGGAGGAAAAGGGUCUGAGCGAGCUUGAACACCAGGGCCGAAUCCGGGCUGGAGCUUAGCCCGCAGGCCCACCACCGGGUUCCUUUCCCUUCAACCGAGUUUGCAGCCGGGAGGAGAGGCUACAGCACAUCUGAAGAGGGAGAAGCCAUCUUGCCUCUAUGAUUAGACAAGCAUGAGGAUAAAAUCUUCCCUGUGAAGAUAAUGGAACAAAGUUGUAGAAGGGGCCUAGACUGCCUUCCCUUAGACCUCUUGUUAUGUGAGGAGAAUAAAAUGUUAUAAGGUUAA